CCGAUUUAGCGAACCUGGUCGCUUUUGACCAAGGUUUCGCAAAACCUGUAUUUAAAACCCACACUUUUUUAAAUAAAAAUUAUCGUAUCAAUUAUGAUAAAAAAAGA
rnacentral:misc_RNA from 1 species